rnacentral:rRNA from 1 species
GAUGAACGCUGGCGGCGUGCUUAACACAUGCAAGUCGAACGGUGAAGCAGAGCUUGCUCUGUGGAUCAGUGGCGAACGGGUGAGUAACACGUGAGCAAUCUGCCCCUGACUCUGGGAUAAGCGCUGGAAACGGCGUCUAAUACCGGAUACGAGCUGCGACCGCAUGGUCAGUAGCUGGAAAGAAUUUCGGUCAGGGAUGAGCUCGCGGCCUAUCAGCUUGUUGGUGAGGUAAUGGCUCACCAAGGCGUCGACGGGUAGCCGGCCUGAGAGGGUGACCGGCCACACUGGGACUGAGACACGGCCCAGACUCCUACGGGAGGCAGCAGUGGGGAAUAUUGCACAAUGGGCGAAAGCCUGAUGCAGCAACGCCGCGUGAGGGAUGACGGCCUUCGGGUUGUAAACCUCUUUUAGCAGGGAAGAAGCGAAAGUGACGGUACCUGCAGAAAAAGCGCCGGCUAACUACGUGCCAGCAGCCGCGGUAAUACGUAGGGCGCAAGCGUUAUCCGGAAUUAUUGGGCGUAAAGAGCUCGUAGGCGGUCUGUCGCGUCUGCUGUGAAAACCCGAGGCUCAACCUCGGGCCUGCAGUGGGUACGGGCAGACUAGAGUGCGGUAGGGGAGAUUGGAAUUCCUGGUGUAGCGGUGGAAUGCGCAGAUAUCAGGAGGAACACCGAUGGCGAAGGCAGAUCUCUGGGCCGUAACUGACGCUGAGGAGCGAAAGGGUGGGGAGCAAACAGGCUUAGAUACCCUGGUAGUCCACCCCGUAAACGUUGGGAACUAGUUGUGGGGUCCAUUCCACGGAUUCCGUGACGCAGCUAAAGCAUUAAGUUCCCCGCCUGGGGAGUACGGCCGCAAGGCUAAAACUCAAAGGAAUUGACGGGGACCCGCACAAGCGGCGGAGCAUGCGGAUUAAUUCGAUGCAACGCGAAGAACCUUACCAAGGCUUGACAUAUAGAGGAAACGUCUGGAAACAGUCGCCCCGCAAGGUCUCUAUACAGGUGGUGCAUGGUUGUCGUCAGCUCGUGUCGUGAGAUGUUGGGUUAAGUCCCGCAACGAGCGCAACCCUCGUUCUAUGUUGCCAGCACGUAAUGGUGGGAACUCAUGGGAUACUGCCGGGGUCAACUCGGAGGAAGGUGGGGAUGACGUCAAAUCAUCAUGCCCCUUAUGUCUUGGGCUUCACGCAUGCUACAAUGGCCGGUACAAAGGGCUGCAAUACCGUGAGGUGGAGCGAAUCCCAAAAAGCCGGUCCCAGUUCGGAUUGAGGUCUGCAACUCGACCUCAUGAAGUCGGAGUCGCUAGUAAUCGCAGAUCAGCAACGCUGCGGUGAAUACGUUCCCGGGUCUUGUACACACCGCCCGUCAAGUCAUGAAAGUCGGUAACACCUGAAGCCGGUGGCCCAACCCUUGUGGAGGGAGCCGUCGAAGGUGGGAUCGGU